rnacentral:misc_RNA from 1 species
GAAAUGCGAUAAGUAGUGUGAAUUGCAGAAUUCAGUGAAUCAUCGAAUCUUUGAACGCACAUUGCGCCCCUUGGUAUUCCAUGGGGCAUGCCUGUUCGAGCGUCAUUUGUACUCUCAAGCUUUGCUUGGUGUUGGGUGUUUGUCCCUUCCUUUUGUGGCUGGACUCACCUUAAAUUGAUUGGCAGCCGAUAUAAUGGUUUUGAAGCGCAGCACAAUGCACGGUUCUUACUGUAAAUAUCAGCGUCCAUUAAGCAAAUUUUCAACGUUUGACCUCGGAUCAGGUAGGGAUACCCGCUGAACUUAA